rnacentral:rRNA from 1 species
AGUGAACGCUGGCGGCAGGCCUAAUACAUGCAAGUCGAACGGCAGCACAGUGGAGCUUGCUCCAUGGGUGGCGAGUGGCGGACGGGUGAGGAAUACAUGGGAAUCUGCCCAGUCGUGGGGGAUAACGUAGGGAAACUUACGCUAAUACCGCAUGUGCCCUUCGGGGGAAAGCCGGGGACCUUCGGGCCUGGCGCGAUUGGAUGAGCCCAUGUUCGAUUAGCUAGUUGGCGGGGUAAAGGCCCACCAAGGCGACGAUCGAUAGCUGGUCUGAGAGGAUGAUCAGCCACACUGGGACUGAGACACGGCCCAGACUCCUACGGGAGGUAGCAGUAGGGAAUAUUGGACAAUGGGCGCAAGCCUGAUCCAGCCAUGCCGCGUGAGUGAAGAAGGCCCUCGGGUUGUAAAGCUCUUUUGUCCGGGAAGAAAAGCAUCGGGCUAAUACCUCGGUGUUCUGACGGUACCGGAAGAAUAAGCACCGGCUAACUUCGUG